rnacentral:rRNA from 1 species
GAUGAACGCUGGCGGCGUGCUUAACACAUGCAAGUCGAACGAAGCACUCUAUUUGAUUUCCUUCGGGACUGAUUAUUUUGUGACUGAGUGGCGGACGGGUGAGUAACGCGUGGGUAACCUGCCUUGUACAGGGGGAUAACAGUUGGAAACGGCUGCUAAUACCGCAUAAGCGCACAGCAUCGCAUGAUGCAGUGUGAAAAGCGCCGGUGGUAUAAGAUGGACCCGCGUUGGAUUAGCUAGUUGGUGAGGUAACGGCCCACCAAGGCGACGAUCCAUAGCCGACCGGGGAGGGGGCCCGGCCACGUUGGGACUGAGACACGGCCCAAACUCCUACGGGAGGCAGCAGUGGGGAAUAUUGCACAAUGGGCGAAAGCCUGAUGCAGCGACGCCGCGUGAGCGAAGAAGUAUUUCGGUAUGUAAAGCUCUAUCAGCAGGGAAGAUAAUGACGGUACCUGACUAAGAAGCACCGGCUAAAUACGUG